rnacentral:rRNA from 1 species
GACGAACGCUGGCGGCGUGCUUAACACAUGCAAGUCGAACGCUGAAGCCCAGCUUUUGUUGGGUGGAUGAGUGGCGAACGGGUGAGUAACACGUGAGUAACCUGCCUCCUUCUUUGGGAUAACGCCCGGAAACGGGUGCUAAUACCGGAUAUUCACUGGUCUUCGCAUGGGGGUUGGUGGAAAGGGUUUCUCUGGUGGGGGAUGGGCUCGCGGCCUAUCAGCUUGUUGGUGGGGUGAUGGCCUACCAAGGCUUUGACGGGUAGCCGGCCUGAGAGGGUGACCGGUCACAUUGGGACUGAGAUAGGGACCAGACUACUACGGGAGGCAGCAGUGGGGAAUAUUGCACAAUGGGCGCAAGCCUGAUGCAGCGACGCCGCGUGAGGGAUGGAGGCCUUCAGGUUGUGAACCGCUUUCGCUCAUGGUCAAGCCGCAACAAUGGUUGUGGUGAGGGUAGUGGGUAAAGAAGCGCCGGCUAACUACGUG